GAUGAACGCUGACAGAAUGCUUAACACAUGCAAGUCAACUUGAAUUUGGGUUUUUAACUUAGGUUUGGGUGGCGGACGGGCGAGUAACGCGUAAAGAACUUGCCUCACAGCUAGGGACAACAUUUGGAAACGAAUGCUAAUACCUAAUAUUAUGAUAAUAGGGCAUCCUAUAAUUAUGAAAGCUAUAAGCGCUGUGAGAGAGCUUUGCGUCCCAUUAGCUAGUUGGAGAGGUAACGGCUCACCAAGGCGAUGAUGGGUAGCCGGCCUGAGAGGGUGAUCGGCCACAAGGGGACUGAGACACGGCCCUUACUCCUACGGGAGGCAGCAGUGGGGAAUAUUGGACAAUGGACCGAGAGUCUGAUCCAGCAAUUCUGUGUGCACGAUGAAGUUUUUCGGAAUGUAAAGUGCUUUCAGUUGGGAAGAAACAAAUGACGGUACCAACAGAAGAAGUGACGGCUAAAUACGUG
rnacentral:rRNA from 1 species